rnacentral:siRNA from 1 species
AACAUGUCUGAUGUUGAUGUUCUG